AACAAGUGUGUGUUUUACACUACGACGAGAAGAUGUGCACCAUUCUGGCUGUGCUAAAUAUUUAUUCCAUGAUAUAUCUGAUCGUCAGAGUUUUACCUGUUGUGUAAGAGAUUCACUUCAAUAUGCAUUGCUGUAUAGAAUGAUAUUCCGAGAACAAACGAGGCGAUCAUCCGGAGUGGAAAAUACAGCAUGUAAUCAUGGCAUUGAAAAAGUAGAAACUCCAGAAAGUGAAAUCAUUCCUUGGUUACCGAUUAAAUCGUGUGAACUUAAUGGUCGGAAUACAACUACUGAUAGGAUACAUAUAUCAGACAGUAAUAUAUAUUAUGUAUAUUUAUCGGUAUCACUGCGAUUUAAGGAAACGUACCACGAACUACCUUACAACCAAAUACGCAUUACUCUUAUCCAGAGUGAGACAAAUUCUACAUUUAUCAAUACUAAAGAGAGGAAACUUAUAAGCAAAGUAGUGAAAGUUCCCAAAGAAAGAUAUAGUUUUGAAAAUAUAUUUAUACAUGGAGAAUUUAGAUUGAAUCCAGGGGAUAGUCUAUUUGUUGAUGUGCACAAUAACAAAUACUUAUAUAGAUAUUAUUCUUAUAUUGGUAUAAUAAAAAUUUAAUUUAUUCUUA